AUUAGCUGGAUACAGCAGUCAACAUCCCAUAGAAGCAACAAUACCACUUCCUUGCAGGGCUGGGCCAGCGCCUCAAAUGGUCUGAAGCAUCCAGAUCCAGAAACAAUUAGAAGGCAGCUGGACCUUCCGACAAACUGGUAGAACUGAAACUACUCAGGAGUCGUAUAGUUCCUUCCCUGCCUAACCUGGGCAGAAAAUCCUGUUACCGUGGAAGAGAGUGAUCUCGGCAGGGAAAAAAAGAUCACCUGCUCAAGGGGAAGCCAACUAUCACGUCCUGAGGAGGCCGAUGGGCAUAUGGAGGGGCCCACAUGAAAAGGGACUGAGACUCUAAAUCCAACAGCUUUAUGAGGAAAUGAGCUCUGCCAACAGCCACUAGAGAAUACAGAUGGUCUAUUGCCAAGAUCUCCUCAGACUACGAGGCUGACCGAACUGCACUCGACAAUGAAAUGGAGCCCCACAUUAGAAGUGCCGGGCCUG